AGGCAUUGUGGUAGAAGACCAAUUCUGAGCUAGGAACAGAGCCCAGAAGGCUUUAAGCAGAAGUGAAGGCACAUUCUUUUCUGUCUGGAGGCAGCAAGAUGUGAGGCUGGACAUGCCAGGAGCACGCCGGGGUCUGAGCCGACCCUGCCGCAGAAGGCAGGUGUCUGGCUCUCCCAGGCCAAGCAACACCAUCAUACCCAGGUGAUUGCGCAACUUCCAGGCCCACCCAGGAACACCCACAGGUGGAGCAGAGAAACGCAGAGAUGUGGACGGUCUCUCUUCAGAAGCUUUAUUCUCCCUGGGAGGGGCACACCUCACCCAGCCAAGGGCUGCUUCUGACUGGACAGAGGGCGUCCAAGAUGCAGACAUGGUACUCGUUCAGAGCCGCCUCUCCUGUAAGACACCACAAAGGUCACAGCAGCUCCCACCACAGGCAGGGCACUGCUCGGGGCUGCAAGUGUCUUAUUCCUCAGCAACCACGUGGGGGCAGCUCUGGCUCACCCCACUUCCAGGAAGGUGGCCUGGGAGAAGGCAGGAAGAGGAGGCCGACAGGGACAGAGGAAGCAGGAGUGUCCAGCCUACACAUGCGUGCAUAGACAGAGCCCUAAGACCUGCUGCACUGAGGUCAAUCCUGCCUGACCUCACUGAGAUUCAAUCCUGCCUAACUUAGGAAUAAUCAAGAGACUGGGAAUUUUCUCACUCUAGUUUUUAGAGAAAUAGAAAAUUUCAAACCAUGUUAAAAAGUUAUUUAAUAAAAUGUUCAAUAUUUUUCAUACAUACAUAAAUGAUGUUUUAACACUGAUUACAAUUCUGAAAAUGUGACUCAUGUACAUGCAUAGUGGUUUAUGUGGCCUGUGUUUACUCCACAGUCUUGCACCACUUCUGCCAGGGCAUGUGAGCCAUGCUGACCACCCCUCUGUCAUCCCCUCCCCAUCUACCUUGUACU
rnacentral:lncRNA from 1 species